rnacentral:lncRNA from 1 species
AUGUCAUUGUGGGAUGGUCAAUACACUUGCCUAUCUUCUCUCCAGGUAAUUCAAGAGGAUCUCUGGAGGUCCCUUUCAUCAGGUCAUUCUUCUCACUGCCCUGUUUCAGUGGGAGACACUCUCUACAGGGCAAGUUCAUCUAACUAUGUGCUUAGAAGUUCCAGAGUGGAGCUGUCACUCACCUGGAGGUUGCCUCAAGAGAUGACAGUCAAUCUACAAUGCAAAGUAUGCCUGCUACGAAAUUAUUUCCUACUUGGAGAGUUUCAGCCACAUUUACAACCUUGUUCUGCCCACAAGGACACCAAUGCUCACCAGCUUGAUCACCUGGUAGAUGAGGCACUAAAGCAAGUUUUGUGGACCCUCACCUGAUGCUUCCUCUGCUGCUUGUCAUUCAUGCUACACCCUCUUUUAAAAGUGCCUGCUUUCAGCCGGGCGUGGUGGCUCAAGCCUGUAAUCCCAGCACUUUCUGAGGCCGAGACGGGUUGAUCACGAGGUCAGGAGAUCGAGACCAUCCUGGCUAACACGGUGAAACCCCGUCUCUACUAAAAAAAAUACAAAAAACUAGCCGGGCGAGGUGGCGGGCGCCUGUAGUCCCAGCUACUCGGGAGGCUGAGGCAGGAGAAUGGCAUAAACCCAGGAGGCGGAGCUGAGAUCCGGCCACUGCACUCCAGCCUGUGCGACAGAGCGAGACUCCGUUUCAAAAAAAAAAAAAAAGUGCCUGCUUUCUGCUCCAAAAGCAAAGUGGUACCCUUAAGGCAGGAAGUCUGUACUUCUUCACCCUAAGCUAGCUUUGGAAUAAAAACAUCACACCAGACCUCACUCUUGUUAAUUGGACUCUGCAAAUAGCAAGCAGCUAAACCUGUGUUUCAGUUACAGACACAAAGGUAGGUGGCCUAAAUCCCUUUCAAAGAAGGACUGACUUCCCAGCUGGGGGUGGGUGAGAUGGGGUGUGCAGUGAGCUACCUCAGAGGCCUCUUCCUUUCCAGAGCAGCCUACGUUCUAUGAUGAAGCCCACUGAAGGUGUGUAAGCACAUUCAUUCUGGCUUGGCACAGAACACUCCCUCUAUAGCUCCCUGCCAAAUUGGCCAAGGCUACUUUCAGCCUGUACUGCAGUUCAACUUCUUCCUUUGCUCAAUCCUUGCCAUCUUCUUCCCUUCACAGGUGUUGAUUCUUCAUAAAUACCUUGCACUUCAAACUCCAUCUCAGCAUUUGCUUCCACAGAAUCUAAGCUAUGUGAGUUGGUACCAGGAGUGGCCCAAGAAAAUGGGCAAUAAGAUAAGGUUGUUGAGCAGUCAUCAGUUGCCUCUGGGUGGCCAUGAGGACUGGUAGCAGGAGGAACACACAUAGCCCCGGAGCAAGGUGGCACUCCAGUUGUUAAAACUUUGUGAAUUUGGAAGGUGUACUGAUGGAAGGGAAUGAACUAGCUGGAGUGAUUUUGGGCAUUUGCAGUGUAUGGAGAAAAGAGCAGCUGCAAGGAUAAGGGUAUGGGAUGGUGACUGCUAAGUGCCAGUGAUGCUGUACAGAAACAUAAUGAACAUUUAAGGGCUGAGUAAUAAGCUUUUGGAAGCCAGGUGUGAAAGCCAGAGGGCCUCUGUAGAUGCAUACACAGAAGCUCUCAUUUGCUCAAGAAGGGUGGAAAAGCCAAGGAAUAAGUUCAGAAGGGUUGAUUCUCCAGACUCCUCAGAACUUACUAAGCCCAUUGACUACAGAUGUUGCUCACCUACAUUAUGUGAAAAGAAAAUAAAAUCUUGGGACCCCAAAUUCACUGUGCCAAAGGGAAAGUUAAGCUUACAAACUGAAUGACAUAAAAACUGCUUUACUUUUGUUCCCAAAUAGAUAGCUGUAAUUUCACAUGCUUACUUUCUUUUAUGUAAAAUGUAGAUCUACUAAGCACAAGACCAAUGCAUAAUUGACUUUUCCCUCCACUUUUUCCUUUGCACAUAAAAUGUAGAUUCACUGAGUGCUAAUUAGAGCCUCAGAAGAAUGUCACCACUUGCCUCGUUGCCUACCCACUCCCCUCCUUUUUUCCUUUCCUUCUUCCCCUCCUGCUCAUUCUUUCCCCUUUAAAUAUUGAAGUCCUCAAAACCCUCUUUGGGAAAAGCACAGGAGACAGGAUUCUACUGUGACUUGUGUCUCUUUUUCCUGGGCACAUCCUAACCCUUGCCAAAAUAAACCUCUAAAUCAAUUGAGUUGCCUCAGUCACUUUUUGGUUAACAUUUAUGAAAGUACCUUUCAUCCUCCCACCCCAGAAGACAAUUCAGAAGCCUCUCCCUCUUCUUCAUAUGAUAUUUACUCAGAUAACUGCAAUGGGAAAAGGGGAAUAUCUAGAUAUUUUGCAGACUGCUGGAAACAAAAUCUGAGUAGACAUCGAUACCUAGAGACCUGAAGCAUCACCAUAACACUCUUGUUACAGUGAAGGUAUUUGGGAACUAGGUAAUAAAUACAAUUUUAACCAAGUUCUGGUUUAAUGGUCUACUGUGUCUGUGAAUCACCCUGUGAUCAGUUCCGCUGUCACCAACUGUACAACUAAAAUGGACAUAAUUGACAGUUGGUGCAACUCCCACAUAAAGCUCUUGGUCUGUGAGGUAACAGUAGGCUAUUAUAGCAGGAAAGACCAAGUAAAAGACUCUGAACCUCU